ACCCAGGCUUGUGUAAGCUAGAUCUGACACUGGCUGUGUGACUCUGGACAAGUCUUGUUUCUUGGUUUCCCCAUCUACGGAGAAGGGAUCAGGAGCAGCCGCCAUCUUCACAGGCAGGAGGUCUGCCAACACAGGGGAAAGAGAAACCAACUGAGGGCGACACACGGGGAA